rnacentral:rRNA from 1 species
CAAUAGCGUAUAUUAAAGUUGUUGCAGUUAAAAAGCUCGUAGUUGGACUUCUGGCAGGGCGCCGCGUGCCACAGUAGUGUGCACAAGGGCCCGGCCAUCCUUCUGUAAACGUCGGGGAAGUUUAUUCGUCCGCGGCGGGAUCAGUUAAUUUACCUUGAGAAAAUUAGAGUGUUUCAGUCAGGCUUGCGCCGGAAUACAUUAGCAUGGAAUAAUAGAAUAGGACUUUUGUCUCCUUUGUUGGUUUGAGGGACCGAAGUAAUGAUUAAUAGGGACAGUUGGGGGCAUUAGUAUUUAAUUGUCAGAGGUGAAAUUCUCGGAUUUGUUAAAGACUAACUUAUGCGAAAGCAUUUGCCAAGGAUGUUUUCAUUAAUCAAGAACGAAAGUUAGGGGAUCAAAGACGAUUAGAUACCAU